rnacentral:rRNA from 1 species
GAUGAACGCUGGCGGCGUGCCUAAUACAUGCAAGUCGAGCGAACGGACGAGAAGCUUGCUUCUCUGAUGUUAGCGGCGGACGGGUGAGUAACACGUGGAUAACCUACCUAUAAGACUGGGAUAACUUCGGGAAACCGGAGCUAAUACCGGAUAAUAUUUUGAACCGCAUGGUUCAAAAGUGAAAGACGGUCUUGCUGUCACUUAUAGAUGGAUCCGCGCUGCAUUAGCUAGUUGGUAAGGUAACGGCUUACCAAGGCAACGAUGCAUAGCCGACCUGAGAGGGUGAUCGGCCACACUGGAACUGAGACACGGUCCAGAAUCCUAAGGGAGGCAGCAGUAGGGAAUAUUCCGCAAUGGGCGAAAGCCUGACGGAGCAACGCCGCGUGAGUGAUGAAGGUCUUCGGAUCGUAAAACUCUGUUAUUAGGGAAGAACAUAUGUGUAAGUAACUGUGCAUAUCUUGACGGUACCUAAUCAGAAAGCCACGGCUAACUACGUG